rnacentral:sRNA from 1 species
UGCCUAAACCAAGCGAUUGGCAUGGCAUUAAAUCCUAGAUGGAAGUAAGCUCUUCGUCAGAGCACCAUCUAGGUUAUCAACCGAAAGGUUGGUAGGAGUCGCAAGGCUUC